rnacentral:rRNA from 1 species
AGUGAACGCUGGCGGUAGGCCUAACACAUGCAAGUCGAACGGCAGCACAGUAAGAGCUUGCUCUUACGGGUGGCGAGUGGCGGACGGGUGAGGAAUACAUCGGAAUCUACUUUUUCGUGGGGGAUAACGUAGGGAAACUUACGCUAAUACCGCAUACGACCUACGGGUGAAAGCAGGGGAUCUUCGGACCUUGCGCGAUUGAAUGAGCCGAUGUCGGAUUAGCUAGUUGGCGGGGUAAAGGCCCACCAAGGCGACGAUCCGUAGCUGGUCUGAGAGGAUGAUCAGCCACACUGGAACUGAGACACGGUCCAGACUCCUACGGGAGGCAGCAGUGGGGAAUAUUGGACAAUGGGUGCAAGCCUGCUCCAGCCAUACCGCGUGGGUGAAGAAGGCCUUCGGGUUGUAAAGCCCUUUUGUUGGGAAAGAAAAGCAGCAGGUUAAUACCCCGCUGUUCUGACGGUACCCAAAGAAUAAGCACCGGCUAACUUCGUG